rnacentral:rRNA from 1 species
UACGGGGGGGGGCAAGCGUUUGUUCGGAAUUACUGGGCGUAAAGGGCUCGUAGGCGGCCAACUAAGUCAGACGUGAAAUCCCCAGGCUCAACCUGGGAACUGCGUCCGAUACUGGAGGGCUUGAAUCCGGGAGAGGGAUGUGGAAUUCCAGGUGUAGCGGUGAAAUGCGUAGAUAUCUGGAGGAACACCGGUGGCGAAGGCGGCAGUCCUGGACCGGCAUUGACGCUGAGGCGCGAAAGCCAGGGGAGCAAAGCGGG